ensembl:lncRNA
AUAUAUAUGCUAAACUACUGUGCUUCUUUGCUUAGUGCAGGCAAAGAUUAAGAGUUCCUAAGGCUUUCCCUCAGUUUGAAAAUGGAAGCAGAGAUUAACCAUACCUUGUCAAAGCUGCGCUUCCAAGACACUGGAGUUCUGCUCAUAGAAUCACAGAAUGGCCUGGGUUGGAAGGGACCUCAAGGAUCAUGAAUCUUCAACCCCCCUGCCAGACAGGGCCACCAACCUCCCCAUUUACUAGACCAGGUUACCCAGGGCCUCAUCCAUCCUGGCCUUGAACACCUCCAGGGACGGGGCAUCCACAACCUCUCUGGGCAGCCCGUUCCAGCACCUCACCACUCUCCUGGUAAAGAACUUCUCCCUAACAUCCAACCUAAAUCUUCCCUCUUUCAACUUAAAACCGUUCCCCCUUGUCCUGCUGUUAUCUACCCUUUCAAAGAGUUUACUCCCUUCCUGUUUAUAGGCUCCCUUCAGGUACUGAAAGGCUGCAGUGAGGUCACCCCGCAGCCUUCUCUUCUCCAGGCUGAACAAGCCCAGCUCCCUCAGUCUGUCUUCAUAGGGGAGGUGCUCCAGCCCCCUGAUCAUCUUUGUGGCCCUCCUCUGGAC